GUUAGGAAUAUUGGACAAUGGGCGCAAGCCUGAUCCAGCCAUGCCGCGUGAACGAUGAAGGCCUUCGGGUUGUAAAGUUCUUUAGCCGAUGAUUAUAAUGACUGUAGUCGGAAAAUAAGCCCCGGCUAACUUCGUGCCAGCAGCCGCGGUAAUACGAAGGGGGCGAGCGUUAUUCGGAAUCACUGGGCGUAAAUCGUGCGUAGGCGGUCUCGGAAGUUAGGAGUGAAAGCCCAGGGCUCAACCUUGGAAUUGCUCUUAAAACUGCAAGGGUAGAAUCUCGGAGAGGAUAGCGGAAUUUCCAGUGUAGCAGUGAAAUGCGUAGAUAUUGGAAGGAACACCAGUGGCGUAAGCGGCUAUCUGGACGAGUAUUGACGCUGAGGCACGAAAGCGUGGGGAUCAAACAGGAUUAGAACCCCGUGUAGUCC
rnacentral:rRNA from 1 species